GACGAACGCUGGCGGCGUGCUUAACACAUGCAAGUCGAACGGAAAGGCCCUGCGUUUGUGGGGUUCUCGAGUGGCGAACGGGUGAGUAACACGUGUGUAACCUGCCCUUGACUUUGGGAUAACUUCAGGAAACGGGGGCUAAUACCGGAUAGGAUCUCCUGCUGCGUGGUGGGCGGGGGAAAGUUUCGGCGGGCUGGGCUGGACUGGCGGCUUAUCAGCUUGUUGGUGGGGUAGUGGUAGACCAAGUGUUAGACGGGUAGCCGGCCUGAGAGCGUGGACGGGCACAUUGGGCCUGAGAGACGGACCAGACGCGUAUGGGAGGCAGUAGUGGGGAAUAUUGCACAAUGAGCGGAAGUCUGAGACGACGACCCUCGGUGCGGGAAGCCGGCCUUCGGGUUGUAAACCGCUUUCGCCUGAGACGAAGCGUGAGUGACGGUAAUGGGUAAAGAAGCACCGGCUAACUACGUG
rnacentral:rRNA from 1 species